GAUGAACGCUGGCGGCGUGCCUAAUACAUGCAAGUCGAGCGAACAGACGAGGAGCUUGCUCCUCUGACGUUAGCGGCGGACGGGUGAGUAACACGUGGAUAACCUACCUAUAAGACUGGGAUAACUUCGGGAAACCGGAGCUAAUACCGGAUAAUAUAUUGAACCGCAUGGUUCAAUAGUGAAAGACGGUUUUGCUGUCACUUAUAGAUGGAUCCGCGCCGCAUUAGCUAGUUGGUAAGGUAACGGCUUACCAAGGCAACGAUGCGUAGCCGACCUGAGAGGUGGACCGGCCCACCGGGAACUGAGAACCGGCCCAGCUCCUGAAGGGGGGCAGGAGGGGGGAAUUUGCCGAAAGGGGGGAAAGCCUGCCGGAGAAACGGCGGGGGAGUGAUGAAGGUCUUCGGACCGUAAAACCCUUUUAUUAGGGAAAAAAAAAUGUGUAAGUAACUAUGCCCGUCUUGACGGUACCUAAUCAGAAAGCCCCGGCUAACUACUG
rnacentral:rRNA from 1 species